AAAAAGACCAAAGUAAGGCAGAAACGAAACAAACCAAACCGGAUCCGCACGCUGCGGAGCGGCGGGCGCCGCGCGUUGCUCGGCCCGGCGGAACACAUCCAACCGGUCGGGCCGCGCCGGGCGCACUUACUUGUCCGUCUCUUGUGACAUGUUUGCUCCAAUGAACUCGCUCCCCUUUCCCGGCGCUCGGUCUCCCCGGUGGAACUGGACUUUCAGGUCUGUGCAGGUGAAGGUGCGCGCGAACGCCCGGCGCGGCAGAACCAGAGCUACAGGUAAUUCUGCUUGCCGUGCCCCCCUGGCCCCGCUCCGCCGCCGGGGCAGCGCAGCGCCGCGCAGGUACGGCCCCAGCCCCCUCCCCCUCGCAUGUGGGGAGCGGCGCGGAGAGCGGCCGGGCCGGGCGCGCGCAGGUAACUUUCCGAGCGGCGUCGGAUUCUUUCACUAAAGGAGCGGGGCAGAGGGCCGAGCCGCGCGCUGAUUGGGCGGGGCGGGCGGCAGGUGCGCUGCCAUUGGAAGAGGCGCGCAGGUACGGCGCCGCCGAGCUCCAGGUAACGCGCCGCGCCGCGUCGGGAGGCACCGCGGGGCCGCCGCCGAGCGAAGGGAGAGAGCGAGGGGGGGGCCGGCGCCGCGCUGGCGCUCAGGUGGCGGCCCCCCGGCAGGCGGCACGGCCGAGGCCGAGGGGAGGCCUCGCGGGCGGCCGGGCGUGACGGGGCGGCGGGACGCGGGCAGGUGGCGGCCGCUCGGUGGCUGCCGACGGGCGGCCCCGCGGGGGCUGCGGCCUUCGGGGAGCAGUUGGCGGCCGGGCUCCUCGUGGGACGCGGGGUUUGGGGUUGGUUCGGAGGGGUUUGGUUGCUGUUUGGCUUUUUCCGACGGUUCCGUCUCGGCCGGGAGCGGCUGGGCUUGGCGGUGCCGCUCCCGUUGCUGCGCGGUCUGAGCGCGGGCGGUCGAGUCGCGGCUGCCGGCGGCGGCUGCCCCGGCGCCCUCACAGCGCUCCUCACAGCGCGGAGCUGCGUCACGCGGCGGAGGGGCCCUCAGCCCGCUGCACCCCCGGGCGCUGCGCCAGCGCCUCAGUGCCGUCCGGAAGGACGGGAUGGAGCUCUGGGGGCAGCAGCUGUCAUCCGAUGGUGGGGAAGGUGUAGGAAAAGGGCUCCUCAGGUCAACUCGGAAGCCGGAGAAGAAAGGAAAACGCCUGCGCUCGGUCCGCGUUCCCCCGGCGGAGCGGGUCGGCACCUCGCCGCUCCUCGCUGCUGCCACAUGUACAGCUCCUCACCUCGAGACGUCUUCCCGGGCGUCUGGCUUCGCCUCUGCCUCACAGACAGCGCUGCGUGUGGCGUAAAUAGGCCGUUGUAUUGCACGGUGACCUUUGCAGGAAAGUUAAGUUAGCUGAAGGCAUUUAUACGGUCCCGGGAGAAGGAUUCUUCUACCUUUGAUUUCGGCUGAUGAGGACAUGGCAGAAAGGUGUUCACAAAAAUAAGCAUCCGUAUAACCAAGCGUGAGGGCUGCUCCAAAAGUAAUGCCUCCUGUUUUUGAUUCUGUGAUUCUGUUUUGUUUUGUUGGCCCACAGCAUCCGAGGUGGAUGUUGUUGGUAUGGCAGUGGAGGCUGAACCUUCCCACCAACAUCAGUUACGUGAUGUUGCCGUGUGACGGAUGGCAGCAGAGGGGCAGUCUGACAAAGUGGCAUCCGACAUGGGAGUCCAUAUGAAGCAAAGGUGUGGAAUUAAAUUCCUCCAUGCGGAAAAAAUGGCACCCGCUGACAUUCAUUGAUGCUUGCUGAACAUUUAUGGAGGCAAUCAAUGGAUGUAAGCACAGGGAGGCGGUGGGUGGGUGCAACAGAUGUAAGCCACAUUCUGGAUGUCCAUGCACAGCUGUACACCACAAAGUGAAGAGAGUCUCAACCAGCUCACCUACGUGAAUCAGCUGAUGGUGAUAGCUGUGUUGAAAAAUAGUGUUUUGUAGCUGAAUUUUGCUCUAUCAUAACACAAAUUGUGUUAUCAUUCUCUGUUGUAGUUUCCAUGGAAAUAAAUAGGAAGCAUUACCUUCAGAGCAACCUCUGAAUGUAUGUGUAUGUGGCUGUAACCGCAUAGAAUUGCAAUCCUCUUUCAGUGCAGUGGAAAUCAAGGUUGGUGCGUGGAAGUCUUUGAUAUUACUGGAUCACAGUCAGGCACAAAUGAUUGUUACUAUCUCUCAGCCCUUACCUAUAUUCAUAGUAACUAACCAGAUAGAGCCAAAUCAAUAUAGCUCUGUUUUAAGUCAGCUCAAGUGUAGUCCCAAGAAGAUCACAGAAUCACAGAAUGUCAGGGAUUGGAAGGGACCUCAAAAGAUCAUGUAGUCCAGUCCCUCUGCCGGAUCCCCCGUUAUGUUUUUAGAAUUAGAAAUUUAGUUUAGCUAGGUUAAUGACACUUGGACUGAGCACAGAGUAUUACGUAGCCUUCCUUUGUUUUCAGUCGCAGGAAAGAAGAAUCAUUAUGCAAUCAGUAAAUCCCAUCGAAAGCUGCUGAUGUGGCCUGAAUUGUGGAUAGCAAAUACUGGUAUUGAACUUCUCAGUCUGUAGGCCGUUAUGAAUAACAAUGCCUGGAUAAGUCAGUCUGUAGAACACAUUUUGAGGAAGCAAUAAGACUUUGUAAAACAAAGAAGAGAAGCUGAGUAAUUUAUUCACUACAAAUACUUCAGUUGUUUUGUAUAAAAAAUUACUAUGUCAUCUUGAGACAAGUAGAGCCUCCCAGGCACACUACUGUGAGAUGUUGUGAGCUGUUCUGGAGGAAUAAUGGGAAUCCUAUCACGGUUUAAGUUAAUGAAACCUUACUGCUAACUGCAGAAAUGAUAAGAUUUCAUUCACAAAUAUUGAUAUUAUGUUGAAAGAAGCUUUUGAGACCUGAAAAGGCUACCUAAUUGAGUGCUGUAAAUAGGAUUAACCUCAAUUCAGGUAUCCUCUUUCCCUUUUUACUUUUUUCAGAUUAUGGGGAACAUUUGGAUGUGUGGCUUUCACUUUUUUUUUUCCCUCCCUUCUCUAUGAAAUGUAUAGGAGGAAGGAAAGGAAGAUGAACGUUUUUGAAAAUGCCACCUUCCCCAAGUUAGCAAUGCUGCUCAUGUAUGAUUUUGCAGGGAAGAAAACAGCAUCUGAUGCCAUCUGCAGUCCUGGACCAAGCCCAAACUGUAACUCAGACUGAAAUGGAAUUUGUUGUUCUAGUACUGGGUCAGCUACAAAACCGCCUUUAGCAGCCUGCUCUCGGGAGAGAUUGCUUCCAGUGAAGCAGCUGGGAGACUGAAUUACUGCUCGGUGGCUGCAGAAGUGUUCAAGGUCAAAGUUAAGAACAGAAGUGAGAAAUGCGGUAAUGAACUCUUGAUUUGAGUUUGUUGAAGAUGACAGCUUAUUGCUUAGGUGAACAAAUAUACCCUGAAAAUUAUUUUAAGCAGAUAGUAGGGAUUGGGCUCAUCGUUUUCUGGAUGAGCAUUUUGUUCCAGGCUGCAAACUGGAAUUCAAUUGUGAGCGUCCAGCCUAGCAGGUCAAACAGGUCCUGCCUCAUCCAGCCCGCUGCUCAUUCUUCAUGAGCUCCAGGAUUGUUAUAAACUAAUCUGUUAGUCACUGAAAAAAUCAUCUAAUGUUAUUUCAGGCCAGACCAGUCUUGCUUCUCAUUGAAUAAAGGCUGUGUAGGGCAAAAAUAAAAUGGUCAUGCAAUACAUUAUUAUAAAUCUAGGAGUUGUCUUUGGAGCUUACAGGAACAAUCUACAAUAGCAGAUCACUUUCGUGCUGUUUGCUUCUUUGCAAACCAGCUUCUCAACCUGGUAGGGUGUUUCUUUUUCUUGCUUGUUGUUGUAAGGAGUCAGUGUAGAAUUCAACUGUCUAACGCUUUACCUUGUGUUUACAUGAUGUGUUCCAUAGCAGCCAGCAUCAGCGCUGUUUGGACUUGCCAGCACUGGGCAGAGGAAGUAGGGUGCACAAACAAGGUUCAGCUCAGCUUACUAAUUGCAGUAAGUACCUAAAAUAUCUUUCAGAAAACUAUUAAAAGAAGUCUGUGCGAUAAAAGAUGUUAGAGAGGUAUUUAUGUCAAAACAGCGUUGUGAGGCAGCUCAGUGAGAGCACAGAUGUUUGGAAACAAGUGUUUGCAGUAGGCAGUGAUUACCACGUAUUUUUAUUUGUGUGUUUCUGUGUCAUUGAUGGCUGUUGAUAUAAAAUGCUCUCUUGCAGUAAGUUCAAAGCCAACCACCUACCUACUAAUUUUGUGAUGCAUUUACUGUUAAUCCUCCCCAUAGCCUUCCCUUUGUAGUUAUCUUCUAUAUGAAACUAUAUUUACUGGAAUUUGUACAGACCUUGAUCUUCAACUGACUUCAACGACGCCGUCACGUACAUCAAAAUAAAUAGAUCUUAGUGCAGCUCUCCUAUACUCCAAAUGGAUCGUUUGUGUGUUCUAAUAAUAGAUUAUGCUACACUAUUAACAUGUAAGGUAAAGAAAGUAAUCCUAAGUAACCAAGAUUGUAACAACGGGUUACUUGUAUUGUUUCACAAUGAAACAAUAUGAAAGUGCUAUCAGAAUGCUGUGACUAGUGACAAGUAUCUGCUGCCUGGAACCUGCCAGUUGCGCUUCCCAGAUAGCGCAGCUGGGAUCUCAGUAAGAACCUGGAGCUCUCCGAUGCCUCCACAUCAUGCGUGGCAACAGCAGCUGAACAGCACAGAGGACCAUGGAAUAUGAGGCUCUGGGCAGCCUGGUCUAGUGGUUGGCGACCUUGCCGUGGCAGGGGGGGUUGAAACUAGCUAAUCUUUGAGGUCCUUUUCAACCCAGGCCAUUCUGUGAUUCUGUGAUGGAGUGCUUCCCGGCCCCAGGGCAGGGCAUGGGGCUGCAUGUGCCACCUUUAUCUGAAAUGCUGAUCUGCAUGUCUUAUAGAGUCCUCAGAGCAACUGGAACCAUGUAAGAAGAAAAGGAGGGGCUUUGUUUGCUCAUUAUGAGCGUAGAGUUCAUGAUUCUGAAAGAUGUCAGCGUUACAAUGUAAACAUAUCUGCAACACUUGUCUUAGGCAGUAUGGCACGCAGAACCCUGUUUCAGCUUAGAACAGAAAUCAUUUUUAGUGGUGAAAAUGGGUCAGAGUGUGGCAGUCCUCUCUGGGCUGGGACAUGGAGACGUCUGAGGAAGCAUCCUAAGUCUGACAGUAGAUUGGAAUAUUAGCUUCUUGAUUAGUAGUACCCAUCCAUUUCAUAAAGAUUACUCAUUGCUUUGAAACCAAUUCAACAGAAUGUAAUACGCAGGGAUAACUUUUCUGCAGAUGCUUUGAUCUCUGAUAGCAUUUUCCAGUGAUUCAGCCAAGCGUUUUGGGACAAGGGGAAACUAUGGUUAGGUCACCUAAUGGCUGACCUAAUGGCAGGAGAAACUCUGCCUGAAGAAGAAUAAGAAAACAUCUCUGGAAGACAGCUUGAUGUGCUGUGGGACCUGGGACUCGGAAAUACCUUAAUUAGGCUGAAACUGAUACUGUGUCAUGGUGGGGUAGAGGAGUGGGACCUAAAUAACCUGACCUCUGAGAAGAAUAUCCAGUGCAUCGUUAGGAUGCUUUGUCUGACUUCUUGUGGUACUCAGCAGAACCUCUGCAUCAUCACAGAACAAAUCUGCGGCUUCACAGGCACAUCUUGAGUAAUCCUGACUGAGUUGUUUGGGGAGAAAGCUGAAAUGCUUGUAGUUUGUCCACGUUGUGAAGAGCUCCUGAGGAAUGUCGGAAGAAAACUGUCCUAAUGGCUGUCUGUUGUGGGGUUGGUUUUGUUUUUUGGUUGGUUGUCAGCAGUAGUACUUUGAAAACCAUCUUUCUUUUCAUAAAUAAAAGCUUCUUUUUCUGUUUUUCAGUGACCCAGUUGAACAAACAAUUGGAUGGAUGGCUGCUCCUAGCUGAAGGGCUCUCACAGGGGAGCAGGAAUGGCACUCUGCAUUGGCUGCUGGGGCUUCUGCUCCCAGCCCUCAUCGGUCCGUUCUUGAAUCAUUAUGAUUUGCAGAGCAUCAUUUGAAAGGAAUCUGAAAUAGGUUUUCACACGUUGAUCACAUCCCCGAGAGCUUCGUAUGUCUCUGCAUCAGUUGGGUGUUUUUAAAAAACACAGAAGCUCCACAGGUCUGUCACCCCACCCUGCAAUAAGAGCAGUCGAAAGCCAAUGAAGAGUGCAUCUCUUCUUGCUGUAACGGUACUGUCCUAAAAUAGGCCUUGGUGUUCCAGUGCGCAGAAGGUGAAGGAUGGCAUAUAAACAAUUGCUUGUUUACUUUUCCCACACUUGGGAACUGGAGUAAAUUCAGCUCAGAGAUUCCACAGAAACACUUCCGAAUGGGGAAAUAGGAGCUGGGAAACAAAGCUGUGGAUUUGCUUAGAAGCAACCCGUUUCUUCCUCAAAAUAAGUCGAUGCCUUAAUCAAGUAGUCAGGUGCUUAAGGAAUCACAGGGAAUGGAAGAGACAGCUUUCCAGGCUUGUUGAGAAGAGGGGGAGCUGAUUGCCCACAGGAUGCUGCUCAGUUGUGGCAGAAGACAAAGGGAAUGGGCUGGUGGCAGAAAAGAAACCCCUGCUGGAGCCAAGAGAUCUCUGCUGUGCCUUGUUCUAUGGAAGGGUCACUAGGCCGCUGUCUCUGUUGCUGCUAAAGCACCUUUACAGACAGGCAUAGGUCUUUCUGCUAUUUGCUGUUGUUCUCUUUUGAAAUGGAGCAGUUUUUCAGAAGAAAGCACUCCCACUGAUCUUGUUCAUAAAUAUAGAGGCGGUGUUGUGAGUACGUAGUGUUACUCCGUCAGGCUUCAGGGCAGUGUAGGCUCAGAGCUUGCCAACAUAAUCUUUGGCCUUCUCUGCUAUCUGGGUUUGGAGCUUCAGGAUCUCUCAGGCUAUGGCGUGGGGAAGACCCCAGUUGUAGAUCCCCUGCAGUCACUCCAUCAGCCUGCACUAUCAGGCGCAGCAUCUCAGCAAUACCAUGUUUGUACAGCGCACACGCCCUGCAUGCACCUACAAGCCUGCUUUAUCACUGCUAAGUCUCUGCUGUGAAAGUAGAUUUCUGCUGGUGGAACUGCCCUGCCAGGCAGGGAGGUGUGCUGACUGCUCUGUCCUGUCCUGUGCCGUUGUGCUGGGAGAGACAGACCGGGAAUCGGGCUCACAGAGCAUACAGGUCCCAAGUUCUUUUGUACCUCAUUUUGCUUUCACACUAUCACUGUUACCUGUGUGCAUUAUUACGCUGCCCAAUCCAGUAUUGAUCUUCAUAUUGUGUUUUAACAGAUUGGAGUUAGGAGCUUCUUCUGUCUCCUUUGCCUGUGUCCCGUGACUGUGGCAUAUGCUGCUUUUUAACCUUACCUUUGUUUCUCUGAGUCCCUUCUCAAAUAGGAUUUACAACAGCUGUGAUUUUUCCUUACAUUUUCUUUUCUUCACCUUUUUCCCAAGUGGAUGGAAAUCUUAGCUUCUUCCUAAGCAAGGUGAAAGUAUCCCGCAUGAAGAAGUUUUGUGUGGCUCCAGCCACAGAGAUGCUGAGUACUUGUUUCUCUCUAUUUGACUAGAAAACUACCUGGCGAUGGCUGUUUGUUUAUAUGGUGUGCUUGGGUGUGAGGGGCAAAGCAGGCAGAUUUACAUUUACAUUUCUGUACUGCUUUUUUCUUGAGCUCCCACACAUGAGCAAUUGCCCUGCAGGGUAGGGUGGGGGUGAGAUAUGUGUGUUGCUCUUUAUUUCGCUAUAAACUUCGCUCUGAUUACUAGGACUUCUCCAGGGAAGACGAGCCCUGCCUUACCAUUGCUGGGGGUAUAAAUCACUCCUAAUUAAUACCACAGUUAAGCUGCCUGGAGAGGAAGGCAAAACUCAUACGCUUUGGCUGUGUCAUUCCAGUAAACCUGUAUGAGAGGGAGGCCAGACUGACAGCCUGCAGGCUCUGUGCCCUGGGGCAGAGACACAGGUUGGUAUCAGGAUGAAGUUGCUCAAGCUUUGGUGAAGUUGCUCAAGUUUUGACCCAGAUCCCAGCUGUCCAGGACAAUUCCUGACCUGUGGAGCUCUUGAAGGAGGAGCACAAGGCAGACAUGAGGAGGUAGGUGCAGCACCUCUCCAUUUUGUAUGUGAGGUUUUUGAGCAACACACUUGCCAAAGGUUUUGUGGGGAAUCUGCAGAGCCAGGAAUUUAUUAACCCCAUGCCCAUCUCUCAGGCUGGUGCCAGAAGCAGACAGGUAGUUUGCUAAAUGCUUCAGCCCAACUCCUGGAAAGUAUGCCUGCAUUCCCACUGAAACCAGCAAGUUCCCCAGUUUAGAAUGCAUUUAUUUUUAAACUGUACAGGCAGAGCCUACAUGUUUUGACAAAGUAGCGCCAGAGCAUUGAGUGCCUUGGAGAUUCUUAGCCCUUACUGACUGCUCGCUGAAAGCACUGCCUCAGCCUCCUGUGGACUCCCAGACAGUGCCUGAGAGAGUGCGUGGUGCCUUUCUCAGCCUGGCCUUGCCCUUUUUAGCUUAAAUCAAUAGCAAAGAUGAAGAUAGAGUGCAAAGGGAAAGAAUUCAGAAUGAACAGUGCUCACUAAAUAGACAACCCACAUGUGAAAUGUAGGAUUUUAAAUGCAAAUGCCUUCAUCUUGUCUUAUCAGAGCUAAUUGGUUUAGCCCCUGUGCUACACAGGUUGAGUUUAAAUGCUGUACGGAUAACUCUGAGCUGACACCAGUAUUUACAUGCGACAACUGAUGAUGCAGUGUUGUAGUUGGCUUCCAGGAAAGAUCUUACCCCGGGCAGAACAGAGUCAAUCUCCACCAAGGUUGUACUUUCUCAUCAUUAUUUCUCUCCCGUGUGAAGUGUAGGCAGUGGGCACCGAGCUUGGCACCACAGCACAGUGGAGCAGGAAGUAAUGGGGAUUUCCCUGAUAGCCCCAAGGUCACAGUAGUGAGCAUGCAGCAACUUGGGAAAAAGCAGCACAUAGGAGAAUGUCAGAAGGUCCUGUCACCCUGGCUGUCCUGCAGCCUUGUUUGUAAGGUAAGGGAUGAGAACAUCUUGGUAACAUGCUUCAGCCCCCCUUCUUACAGUGAAGUUGAGGGGUUUUUCUGGGAGGUCUAACAGGUUGAAAGCAUUCCAGUUGCCACUGGUUGACUUAGCUCAGUGGAAGAAUAUGUGCCUGCCCAAAGGAGCUUUCUCCUUACCCUAAAUCAUGCAUUUCUUCCCUCUUCUGUCACAUCAGCAGACUUGCUCUUUCAACCUCCAGAGAACUGUUUUGUUUUUGCUUUCAAUAGGGUUAGUUUUCAGGCAAGUAAGUAGGCUGGUUUGACCCUGUAAAACUCCAUUCCCAAACUGUGGGAGUGAUGGAGACAACAAAAGCAAAGGGACAGGAGUUGUAGGGCAGACCCACCUCUUUUGGCAGUAACUCGGUUUUAGCUUUGAGUUUUAGUAAUUGUGAAAGUGCACGAAAAGCAGUCUUUUCUGUUUGGGAUGAAUGAAAGCCUUCCAGGUGUAAGCAUGGGGAAUUAAUUACAGCAUUCGCCCAGCCCAGUUCUUCUCCUGGAGUCUGACACGUGGCUGCCUCAUGUGAUGUCUCUUGGCACCGCAGAGACAUAGCAUCACCCACAGCUCUGGCAGCAGCUGCUGCUUUGAGCCUAUCAGCCUCCUCCACUGGCUGGAGUAGCAGUGAGUUUCUGCAGGUGCACGGCAUGCAUCGCCAUAGUCCCAGUGAAGCCACCGAGUGCGUGGAAGUCUAUGAAUGAGAGCAGCUAUCCAAUCAAGAAGGUAUUUUCUACACUGCAGGUUAAAUGGCCAUCCUUCCCUCAAGAGAUGUGUGCAUAAAAGACGUGGCUGGUUUUUACAGACAGUACUAUGAAGACGUCGGUCGUUUUGAGUUGCCCUUUGCACUGCAUCACUGUUCUGUGCUUUGGAAGUGGUUGCAGGGCUGGCUCAAGUUCUGUCGGCUGUGCCUGGGGUUAAAGCAGAUGCUUUGGCCCUCUGAACCCAGCCUGGCAAGAUGAGGGCAGGGAGGCAGGAUUUCCCCUCCGUUGUUUCUUUGAGUUCCAGAGCUUCCAACGAGGCUGGGAGAGGGGAAGGGUGACCAAGGAUAUCUGAGCAUCUUCUCUGUAAGCAAGGCCAAUUAUACACACGGCAAUUACCUCAGUGUAAACAGCCCAUCGUACCGAGAUGGGGAGAGCCUUUUGAGCCUGGGGAGGGUGCUUUGAAGUGCUUCUGCUCAGAGAGUGUCCAUUAAUGCGGGGAAUUGCACCGGCCGCAGCCCUCGGCUGCGUUAAGAGGAGUUGGGCGGCGGUGCCUAUUGAGCUGGGCGGGAUGGCUGUUAGGUGCCCUCGGUAUGACAAAGCGGUCGUUAACAUUCCAGCAGCGAUGGGGCAGUAGCCAGUAGCAACGCUUGCCUGCCUCGGCCAGCCCUGCUUGCUGCCGCUAGCGGUGCCAUAAGGGCACUUCUCUCCUGUACGUGCUAGAAUUCCACUUUCCUACCGGUAUCUGCACGAUUUCUCGCCAGUACUGUGGAAGAAUCCUAGCAAGUCACACCGAAGUUGAUAUAAAUUAUCUAUCUCUCAGCAGGGAGGAGGAUUAUGUCAAUUUCGGCUAAUAGCUGCCAAAUAAUAGACACACAGAUGCUCUUAAAUUGGUUUAAUUCCCGUUGGCUGGCCCUGACAAUUGGGAGCAAAGAUAAAUAUAUACAAAGCAUUCAAAGCUCGGGGUGUUAUGAUGCUAAUUGAAAAGUCACCAAAGGAAGCCCUCACGGUCUGUGGGAACCUCGGUGCACGGGAUUAGCGGCUAAUUAGCGGCUAGGAGCUGUCUCAUCCCGAGCACAGGCACCUCUGCCCAUGCAGUCAGUCCUUGCCCUUGAUACCAGCAAUAAAGAAACUGCUGUGGGCAGCAGGCAGUGUGAUGGUAGGAAGAUAACGUAGUAUUAGCAGUGUAACGAGUUCUCCCAUCAUGCACAGAAGCAAUGUCAGAAAUGCUUGCUGUGUCUUGGCCACAGCAAACAUAAAGGCAUUUGAGGCCUGAGCUCUUCCCCCCCCCCCCCCCCCUUUUUAACAAAUGCACAAGUCUUGUUAUGUGACUUUUUACCUCUUUCAUGUCAUGUUUGCAGCAGAGGACAGAACACAUUCUGGAGACCCCGAGCCUCAAACCCUGCUGUGGACUCUGCAGUGAGUGCACACAGGCAGUCGCAGCCCCUUCCUUGCACGGUGCUUUAGAAUCGUGACAUUUAAAAAACAUACAAUCCGUCUGUCAGCAUCCCAGUAUUUCCCUCUCAAGCUGUUCCCUGGUGGACAACUGAAGAAUCCGAGUUUUUCAAAUAACACACUUGUGUUAUGUGAACCCAAGGGCUCGGCCUGUGGAAAAAGAGAUUUGCAAAAUGGUACGAAUCAGUUGCAUCACUGGCACCGCUGAACUAAUCAGGGCUUUGUUUAAUGAGGGGUGCAUCUAUUUUGCUCAAUUACUUCCCGCUGGUGAGAAUCCUUCAUUUAUACUUUCAUUUGGGAAUGCUGGUUUUGGAACUCUCCGGAGUUACAUGUUUUCUUGUCCUCACAUUUGCUUUUUCAGAUCUGAAACAGCUGUAAACACAGCUUUAAACUGUUACACACCCUCACAAUUAAAUUAACCAGUAUUACACUUCACAAAGACACCAAGGAGCAAUAGCAGGGAGGUUCACUUGUGAGCUUUGGAGGAGCUAAAAAGCUUCUUUCCUGUGUUAACCAGCUCUGAGUAAUGCGGUUUUGCACAAGCUGGAGUCAGAAGUGGGUAAUGUGAGGAACCCAUGCUGGUAGGCAGUGACCUGCAGUGCGUGGGCUGGUGGCCUAAGUCAUCUCUUCUGGCAACCAGCAGAUGGGUGCUUGUAGCCUGGUUUCCUUAACCCUCCUGUUGACCAGCCCUCCAGACAGCUAACUCUCUUCUCCAGCUGCUGAGAAAUAGCUAAAUCAUAGAAUCAUUUAGGUUGGAAGAGACCACUGAGAUCAUCCAGUCCAACUGCCAACCCAUCCCCACCAUGCCCACUGACCAUGUCCUUCAGUGCCACAUCUCCACAGUUCUUCAACACUUUCAGGGACGGUGACUCCACCACCUCCCUGGGCAGCCUCUGCCAAUGCCUCACAACUCCUGAGAUGAAAUUUGUCUUUAGAUCCAAUUCCCCACCCCCCAGUACAACUUAAGGCCAUUACCUCUUGUUCUGUCACUAUUACAUGGGAGAAGAGGCCGACCCUCACAGUCAUCCACAGUGAGAGCUAACAAACAAAGAGGACCAUCCUUCAUAUAGCAGCUAUGUUGUAGAAGUGAUGAUCUGGGAAGAGGGUAGGGAAAAGUGAACAGACUUUUAGGCAUAGAAGUUCUUCUACAGAUCUGAAAGAAACCUCAGACUUCAAGCUAUUUUGCCCCCUCACAAAAUCCUGUAGAAAAAAGAGAUAACAGCCCCAUACAACCACCUCUGCUGUAGAUAAGCUGCCCAGCUGGCUGGGCAGCCCAAAGAACCCAGCUGCUCCAGGAGUCUUAAUAGCUUUUGUGGAGCAACAGAUUCCUGAAAUGAUGCUCACCGUUCAGUAUGUUUGUCAGAACUGGAAUGAGAUACACAGGAAUAAUAUUUUUCGGCCAAGGUAUUUCUAACUGGUUCUCGGUGGGUAUUAGUAAUAAUACAGCUGUCAGCUUUCGCAGUGUUUUUUAAGCAGAAGUGCUUUGUAUCUUUCAAGGUGUCUUCCCUUUUAUCUUAAGCAAAAUACCUGUGGGAACCAUUAGUAAUGGUUUCUGGUACUGCUGGACAAUAGUAGUGUGAAGAUACAGAGUGCAGCAACCCAUGCAGCAUAGGAACCCAGUGACAGGCUGGAAGGCACUCUGUGCCAGAGCGUGGCAAGGAGCGAGCAGCAGAUCAGACAGCUGCUUAAUCCCUCUGUGAGUUGAAAAGAGGGAGGAGACGCAAAUCAAGAAGAAGGAGAGGACCAUAGAGAAGAAACUGCAGAAGAAUUCCUGAUUUCUAUAGGAAUCUCUGCAUGACACACUGGGUCUGUGGGAGCCCAGAGCUCAGCUCAGCCCCUCAAAACCUGGUACCACAGCUGUAACUCUCAGGAUCUCUUCUGAGCAAAUCUCGUGCCAUUUAGGGAAGGUGCUGGGCUGAGCUGAAGCUGUGCAAGUACAGCUGUUCUCAUAUCAGCUAAGAAAAAGUAAAAAUCAGUUUAAAGCAUUAGACUGUUCCAAAAAAGCAGUGCUAAACCUCAUUCUAGAGCUACUGUUAAGUUGAAAUAUAUAUAUUUAAGUGCUCCUUCAAAUAAAGCCUAAAAACCCAUUUGCUUUUCCAGUGGUCUAAUGACUGCUUUUGCCAGGUUACUUCCAACAUAGAAUUCACCUACAGUCUAAGGCAAUGCCUGGGAGAUCCAAGCAUUCUGGUAUGACUGGGAUAAAGCUGAGGUGAGAGGCAGGUCAGAAUCGGGUGUACCAUGGAGGUAUCUGCAGCCUUUGUGGGGAAAGAUUACCAUCUUGGUGGGGAGAUCGUGUUUCUGUUAUUACCAGUAACAACUGGUUUCUACCAUUUACUCUCCCCUCUUUGUUGUCGGGUAGGCCCUGACAACUGAGGGACUCAAUGCAGCACGCAGGUGAGGCUGACGCUGGGCUCAGAAGUGCCGUCAGAUGGUGUCACGCAUGUGGGGAUGUGUGGUACCACGGCCCCGGUCGCAGAGAGCCUGCAGUCCGAGCCAGGAGCCUGCAAGAGGGCAGCACGGAAAAGCAGUGACACCUGUGCUGUUUUUAAUGGGAUUUGUAGCUGUGGGGUUUCGACAGAACCCACUUUUUCUUUCAGUGCAUUCUGACGUGGAAGAAUGUGAAAUGUAUUACCACAAGAGCAGGCUGCCUUGUGAGUGCUUCUGCGGAGCAAUGUCUUUUCUGCAGAGCUAGCCAUGGGGACUGAGCUUUAGCUGGGAGCAGCUUGGUCGGCGCCAUUUUCCCUCUGUGGCCUGUGCAGGAAGCUAACACCAGCCAACUUCGCACACUGUGGGACCGUAACAGGCCGCUGCCUGCGCCCGGGAGCGCAGACCCUCCUGCUGCACUCGGCAGAGCAAGUCUGAACUGGGUGCAUGGAGCAGGAAAUGCCAGUUCACAGCCCUCCCACGUGGCUCCAGGCUGCGUGCACAAUGACUUUUCCAGCCCCCCAGACUCUGUACACAUGAAUCCCUUCACCGUCCAGACGCCGUUUUGGGAUUGGCACAGCAUUCUGUGAUCUUGGAAGGCCGCUCAUGUGGUGUGGGAGCCAUCGCACACGCCUCUUGCAUUGGGUGCCUGCUGUGCUCCGCUGCAGGUGUUUCAUACUUGACAAGCAAGUCAUUGUGAGACUGGAGAAGCCACAUCCUUCUUCCUGGUCUCUGUAGUUCCACCUGCAGAGUUAGAGUAGUGUGUUCCAUCUUCCUAACCAAAGGAGACACAGAUGAAAGGGGCCUAAGUCAUCAUGUCAGCUGUGUUUGUGAGAGAAAGAGAGUAAAAGGCACCCAGGCACCGAGGCAAGAAGUGAACAGUGCCAUUCCCUUCCCUGCAUCUCCCAAUCUGCCCCAGACUUCCUCAGCUGGAGCUUGGAUCCACGACUCUACAUUUCAAACCUCUGAGUAAGUCAACACAUUUUGCCAAGUUGUCUGAUCACCAAUUGAACUCCUCAUCCACAGCAUUACGGUUCUUGUUUGUCUGCUUAUAUGUCUGCAGGAUGUGACAGGUACCUAGAAAAAUCACUUUGUCCCAGUGGCAUCCCUUGUUAAUGUCAAAGGGAGCUGCAUGGAGAGGCUGAGCUGUGGUCGGCACUGAACUCUGUGCUCCUCUGGUGUCUGGAAACGGGAAAUGUACUUGUAGGGAGACCAGACUCAGGGGCAGCCUUGUGAAAGAGUAUUUCUUCACCCUUCACUUUUUUAGGAGUGUGAACACAAGGAAUUUAAUCUUUUCAUUUGGUUACUGCUGCUCUCUGCUAUAUCAGCACAGCCGCCAGAACUGUUGUAAACAUUUGAAGAGUGGCGUCAAUUAAAGGUGACUCAGGAACAAAUGUGAUAUGAAGAAUUUGGAAAGGUUGGAAGAACAGCCAGUGUGCCAAAUGCUUUUCUAAAUGGACAACUAGAGGGAUGAAGAAGAGGAUGGUUUGGGAGUCACCCUUCCCACUUCAGCUGUGCGGUUAUGGUGACUACAUGUCCUAUUUGGAAGCACACACUGACUCGGAGGGUCAUCAUCCCACCAGUGCAUGAAGCUUGCAGUGAGUCAGCCCCUGUAUGUUACAAGGCAGGAUGGCUCCAGCUGCUAUUCAGGCUCUGUACAGUUUGACACUACUUCAGGGCGGAUAUGGGGACUCCAGAGAAUAUGGCAAGGGCUGUGUUGCUCACAGGUAACUGCCAGUAAGGAGCCCACCAGAUAAAGUGGAUCAGAGAUGGCAUCCAUAAUAGUCUCUCACCCCAGCAAAGCAUAUUCUAGAAGAGCGGUGUUGAAAAAGGACCAACUCAAAGAAAUUCACCACCACAGGUUAUUCCCAGGCAGCACUACCCUACGCGAGAAGUAACAAAACACAUGACCUUACUCUCUGUGAAGUGUUUGUGGAGCUUUUGUCACCAUAGCACCGAGUCACCAAAUACAGAAAGGUCCCUCCCGUGAUUCAUAACUGAACCCACAGUGGCUGCUGCUAUUUUCUGCAGUCCUUCUCACCCUGCCAGUGGAUGGCAGCUGAGUGGAGCAGUGCUGAGCACUCGCUGGCCUCUCUCUCUUCCCAGUGCCUUGCAAACAACUCCCAGUUCUCAGCAGCUUUUUGAGCUGUUCUGGGCACCUGAGGAGAGCAGGUGGUUCUGCGGUCAUUUCAUACAACCACAGGUCUGGUCAGAGUAAGGACACGAAGUGAUCUGCACUAUAGGACCUUGGGCAGAGUUGGCCAUCACCAGACUUCAGCUCUUUGUGAAGGAAUUUUCUGACAUAGUUAUCAGCCUGAGACUUACAGAUUAAGCAUUUUGUAGCCACUUCUGCUACGCGUGACAGUGACAAUAGAUAACAAUACAAUAUUUGUCCAAUCGGUUUUCAUAUUUUUGGACAUGAGCCGCGUUUUUUACCUUCCGAUGCUGGACUGCUCUGAGAUCCCAAUGUUAUUGGAGGUCUUUUCCAACCUUAAUGAUUCUGUGACUACAUUUUCCCACAUCACUAGUGAUAGGACAAGAAGGAAUGGCCUCAAGUUAUGCCAGGGGAGGUUCAGGUUGGAUAUUAGGAAAAAAUUAUUCUCUGAAAGAGUGGUCAGGCAUUGAAACGGGCUCCCGAGGGCGGUGGGGAAGUCACUGUCCUUGGAGUUGUUCAAGAAGCAUUUAGAUGUUGUACUAAGGGACGUUGCUUAGUGGAGAAAAUAUUGGUGGUAGGUGGACGGUUGGACUGGAUGAUCUUAGAGGUCUUUUCCAACCUUGGUGAUUCUGUGAUUACUGGAGGGGGAACAAGCUACCACGGACUGUAUCUGCAGGAGAAUCACUUCCUAGAUGUAAUCUGGACCGUGAAUGGCAUUUCAUUUGGCAGAACUAGAUAUUUUGGGUGGGACACGAAACUGGAGAAGUGGGAUGGCAGAAGUGGGUGUGUUAGUACAAAGUUGGUAGAGGUCUGGGAGCUCUUCAGCAGGAGGUGGUGGCUGGGCAGCGAGAUCUGCAGGCAUGGCAGUGAGAAACCCACCAAUGGACAGUGAAAAAAGGCACCUCCAGGCAGAGGAGGUGCAGAGGCUGCUGCAGAACGGGUGAUGGGACCUGUGGGCAUGGCCUCAUGGCGGCAGGCUCAUGGGGAUUGGGAAGGGCCCCCGAGGAGACUGAGAGCACAGGAAGUCAGCCUUAGGGGGAGUCCUGGGUCUGCACGGUGCAGAGAGCGGAGGAGGUAUUCCUCAAAGAAGUGACUACCAGGAAGCAAACAGAACAAUCUCAAUUAAAGGGCAGUAGUAGCACAGGACAAUACCAACCUUAACAUAUUCCAGGUGGUAAAGAAUAGAUGGCCUCCAACCAGGAGAGGAGCAAGUUACUGGAAGAGAUCCCUGGGAGGAGCAGUGGGAAUGGGAGUGUGGGUGCUUGAGAUGCAGCAUGGAGGGGAGGCCCUGUCGGCACUGCCUGGAGCACAGUGGGUACAUGAGCCCUCCAGGAGCACCUGCUUGAGCAGCUUCUGUUUUGGCAGCUCCCAGCUGUCAGAACCACCACUCUUUCAGGGCACUUGGGGAGUGUGACAGCAGGUCUUCCGCAGCAUCAGUUGUUUUAUUUCUGUGAAUAAGGUGAUUUAUGUAGGCCUAAUUAUGUACUAGCAACAGUAGUAGAAAACCUUGAGUACUGUGUUCAGUUUGGGGUGCCUCGCUACAAGAAGGACAACAAGGACCUGGAAUGUAUCCCGAGAAGGUCAGCAAAGCUGUAAGGGGUUUGGAGCACAAGUCUUAUGAGGAGCAACUGAGGGAACUGGGAUUGUUCAGAAGAGGAGGCUCAGGGAAGACCUUACUGUACUCUACAACUGCCAAAAGAAGGUUGUGGUGAAGGGGCGGUCAGCCUCUUCUCCAGAGUAACAGGGAUAGGAUGAGAGGUGAUGGCCUCACGUUGCGCUGGGGGAGGUUCACGUUGGAUAUUAGUAAACAGUUCUUCUCAGGAAAAGAGGUAGUGCAUUAGCACAGGCUGCCCAGGGAGGUGGUGGAGCCACCAUCCCUGGAGGUGUUCAAGGGAUGUGUACAUGUGGCACUGAGGGAUGUGGUCAGUGGGCAGUAUUGGUGAUAGGAGGACGGUUGGACUGGAUGAUCUUAGAGGUCUUUGGCAACCUGAAUGAUUCUAUAAUUCUAUGAUUCUAUGAAAAGAGAAACAGAAGAGAGAAGCUAUCUGUGUUUAACAAAACCAAUACACUGCCACCAGUGAUUAAAUGCUGACAUGCUGAACGUGUCUCACCCAAGGCUUGUAGGGACAAAGCAAACAGUGUGCUGUUUGUCUGCAGCCCAGCAAUCGAUGGCAAGCAUUUGUGGGAAAUAAACCAAUAAACCAGCACCCUGGCUCAGUGUAUUCCUUCCUUGCCAGGAAUAACAGGAGUUAUAGGGGAUGAGAAGCAUCCCUGGGAUGGUCACAGAAGCACAGCUUCUCCUUCAGGCCAGGACAGAUCAACGUGAAGGAGUAAUGCCUUCCCAAGGAAUAGUUUGUGAUGGAAGAGCUCAGGUCGUAAAGGAUUUGUUACUCCAAGUGACAUGCAUAAUUAAUGAAAUCUUUUCAAUUCUGUGAAAUAAAGAGCAAACACGAGUCCCCACACCCAAGCAAACACACAGAUAGGCUCUUGUGCAACUCCACCCCCCGUGGCUGCUUUCUGCCAACUUCCGCAAUGACUUAAUUUAAACAAAAUCCGAGGACAGGCACACUCAGUAACACCUCAGCGUAACCUCAGCCUGAGCUUCCUUUUAAAGUGGCAGGUCCCCGGGUCCUCCAAAGGUGUGUGUGCUUAUCAGCAUCACACCUUGUCGAAUGGAAGCCAGUGAG
rnacentral:lncRNA from 1 species